CCGGCCCCCGACGCGGGCGACCUCCCGGCGUAGACCGUGGCCACCACCGACCAGAGCCUGGACUAGGCGCCGGCCAGAUGCGCGUGGGUUCGUCUGGACGGACGUCCCCGCGCGGAGUUGCAGUGGGAUAAACAAAGAUUUAAGACCAUCUGUUCCAUUUACCUCCACCCAUCACUUAUCAGCAGCCAGGACUAGAAGACUCUGCUUGACAAGGUUCCUGACCUUUAACUGGCAAGUUAGGAGUGUCUCCCCUGCCGCCGCCACCUUGCAAACUACUUUCUGGAGCAUUGUGCAAGGUGCUAGAGAAACCAAAAUGGCUGAGAUGUUCUCUGCUCGCCCAGAGCCCAUUGGGAAACUAAUUUAUAAAUAGUUGUCACAACAGGAAUGUGCUGAGGUAAUUCCUGGCACAACAGAGUUGGACGGGGAGAGGGUGCCCUUCUGUGAUGCCCUGUCCACUAGAGUAGUCUGAGAGGACAGGGGCUUUGCUCUGCUUAUCUUUGUAUUAUUAACUGGGCUAUGCACAAUGCCUGGCACCUAGCGUUCAGUAAAAUGUUAUAGGACUUGGAUUCUGGAAGGAUUAGUAGGUGUUAUAGGGGCAGAUGGGCUCUUCAUACCCAGGAGCCAUCGAGGCAAUACUCUGGUUGUUCAUGAAGAUGCCUGUAUUUCUUCUGUUCUAGAUAGAGCUGCUUAAGAAGUGAACUCUGCUCUUGUGUGACCUUCCUCAGGCAUCUGAAUCCCAGCACAGCUCUGAGAUUGCUGCUUUUUCCUUACAGCAAUGUCUUGAGAUUCCAGACUCCCCCAGAUAGACUUUAAAAUGGAAUGCCGUUAGUCGUGUUUUCCUUGCUGUUGUUGAAGACAGCUCUUUUUCUUUCACAGGCACGAAACUGAAUAAUGGUAUGCUUACAUGCUUGACAACAUACCUGUUCGGUAGCUGGUUCCUAGCUUCUGAGGUAGAAAGACAUGUGGUACUUUUAUUUUGAGACUUUGGAAGUUUCAGACCUGCCACCACUUCUUGAUGGCCCUAAAAGUCACCAAGUCCAGACAAUGGUCCUUAGUCCUCAAGUAGGCCACUGGUUCCAGUCAGGAGAAAACAACUUGGGGGUGGGGGGAGUGGGUGAGGGAUGGUUCCUCGCAGUGAACUCUGCAGGGAACUCUGCAGCCUAGUAGAUUAUCAACGUGGGAGGGAAAGCCUUUGUUCUCUCCUGAUGAGCUGGCUGGGUAAGACCUUUGCAAGUCUUUCUGACCCUGCCCUCUCUCAGUGUGUGGUCAUAACCCCUGGAGUCAGUCAACUGUCUGGCAAAGGAAAAACGGGGCUGUCUCAUCUGUUUUUCACCAUAAGUGUGUUUAAAGAAGGAAAGAACACCUAUCCUCCUUAAGCCUGGAUUCUUACUUACACCUUCUGCAUUGUAGCUCCAAGUGUUUGUACCUAACUCAUUUUGUCAUUAUAGCAUGGUAGUCUUGGAAUCAUGCACUGUGUACUGUUCUUCCUGCUGGCUAUACAACUAGUGGAGGGGCACUAGGAACUUUGGAAUGCAUUAUCUUAGUUUAGAUUUAUUCCCACAUCAGCUGGAGACUUCCUGUGUGAGGGAUGACCAGCCGCCUUGAAUAGUUUUCUGACCUUCUUCAGCUACACUGACACUGAGCUCUUCCAGAGAAGGCAGUUCUGCCUCUUCUGAUUGGAAACUUUAGCUAAUCACAUUCUCAUUCAUUUCUUUUUAAAAAAAGAUUUAUUUUUAUUUAUUCAAAGAAGACCUGGGAUAUAGGCCAGAGGUGCAGGGGGGUGAAAGGAUUCACCAGAGUAAGAGUAGGGAGCAGAAAAGGCAGAUCUACUAAAAUACACUGCCGAGGGGAGCAGCAGGCAAGACAGCAGAGAUCCAUUGCGCCAUAUGUGGGUUAACUCCCUGGCUGGGGAUUGAACUCAUGCUGCAGUGGCUGGCAAUAGCUUGAUAGCGCUGAGACUUUAACCCCUGUACCACCAGGGAGACCCCUCAUUCAUUGCUUAUAUGGAACCAGCAAAGCAGAAAAUUUAAUCUCAUUUGCCAAGGAUUGACUGAGUAUAUUGUGCUGUCAUGCAGAGCCUUAAUUUUUUAUGAUAAUAAGUUCUACAUUUUAUAGUUUACCUAGAUUAUUUCAUUUGUUUCUUCUAACUACCUUUCAGAGGGGUUUAUAAGAGUAAGGUUGAGGGCCCCUCUUUCAGGACUGUCAGGCUGUAAAGUUCUUCCCUUCUCCCAGGUUUAUUAACCAGUGUUUAGUUUAAAAAAAAAUUCUUGGGAAUUCUGAGACCUCCCCCAACUCCCACCCCAGAACAGUGUAAUCAUGUAACAUACCUUCCAGAAUCCUCAGGUCUCAAGUGUCCUGGAAGCUGCCAUUCACCAAAGGCGGGUGGCAUGUUCUUUCUUUUGUUUUUUGUUUUUGUUUAUCUAAUGAGAUUCCUAAGCAGUCAGUACGAAAAUUCUAACGCUAGGAAUGGCUGAGGGGUGAAUUUUGGAAACUGGAUCAAAUAAGGGAGCAGAAUGGUCAGCAGUGUUGGCCUAGAAACCCAGGCUCCAUAGCUGAUUUCCUGGGAGAAACUGCUGAAGAAGACUGACCCGUCUUCAAGUCCUUCUGUGUGUUGGAAGCACAAGCGGGUACCACUGUUACAUGAUGGCUGCAAGAUGGAUGAUGGGCAUGGGCUGCCGUGAUCACUGCUUCAUCCUUUGCUUUCAGGUACACACAGGUACAGUAGGGAGCUACAAUGUCCAUUUUAAUAAGUUAAAAUAAAAUUAAGCAUUCAGUAUUCCAGUCAUACUGGUUACAUUUUGAGUAUUCGGUAGCCACUUGUGACUGGCGGCAUCCGUGUGUUUCCAUCAUCACAGAAGAGUCUCCUGGACAACGGUGCUCCAGAGAAGUGCUUCUCAGGCUCGAGAUGCCACAAGUCUCUGUGAGAAUCCUACAGCAGUGCAAUUCUGAUGUGUUAGGCCUCACUGGGGCCCAAGAGUCUACAUUUGUAACAAGCUCCCAAAGGUGUCAGUGCUGCUGGUCCCAGACCACACUUGGAGAGUCAGAGUCUCUAGAGUGAAGAUGAUAUUGUCCCAUUUAUUUCACUCUCCAUAAAUCAGUUUACUCAGUAGCUAUUUGAUCUGACAAGAGGAAAUUAUUUUUGAGUCCAAGUUGUGUUUGUGGGCAUAAUGGUGGAAUCACAGUAUCAGCAUUGUUUUGCCUAUGUAAUGUAAAAUAAAUAUUAGAAUUGAAUAAAAUUCAGAAAAUAGUUAAUUUUUUUCUCUAAACAGAAUUUUUUUGUCUGGGGCCCUGUUGUUUCAAUCUGUUACAUUUUUGGUCUAAGAAAAUCAGGUUUCAGAGGUUCCAGGAUUGUUUCUGUAUUUCCUUUAUAUAGUCUUUAUAUAGUUCAAAUUCAUGUUCAUUUGUAGAAAUUGAGUAUAGAAAUCGAAAAUGACCACUGAGGAAUGGUAAUAAGAUUUUUAGGGCCAAACAUCUUUACAUAGAGUGAAUAAAAAAUAUGGAGAAUAAUCAAUUAUACUUUUUAAUUUAUUUUUAUUUAUACAUAGAACUGGAGUGUAGGCCAGAGGCACAGAGGGUUAUAGGGUAAAUGAUUGUCAGGCUUUGCUGCCUUCCUGCCAUUAAGAUGAUGGAUCCCUGCGGUCCUGAAUGCAAGCCUGAUGGCGGGCACCUGGAGUGCGGUGUGGGCAUGCGUAGGUGGGAGUCACCUGGGCUGAGACAGGGCUUAUAAGGGCAGCAUCACGGGAACGACCAGAAAAGAGAAAGAGUACAGCGAAGUGUACUUCAUGGAGAACACAAAAACAGCUAAAACACCAACACGGCUGUUUGAACUAGUGAUGAACCUACCCGGUUUGGGGUGGUUGCACUGUAUUUGGCAUAGUCAGUACAGUGAUUGGAUGCAGACGGGUAUGGAGCCCUCCGAAGACCUCGGGAGGGACUGAGGAGUAGCAGACCGUGAGCCUGUGACAAC